rnacentral:sRNA from 2 species
GUAUGGAAUAGCUUCAUCCUAUUCGCCUAUGUAAUGAUAAUCAAAAAAGCGAGUAGAAAAGUUUCCCUGGUGUUGGCGCAGUAUUCGCGCACCCCAACCUUCGG